AUUGAACGCUGGCGGCAUGCUUUACACAUGCAAGUCGAACGGUAACAGGCCGCAAGGUGCUGACGAGUGGCGAACGGGUGAGUAAUGCAUCGGAACGUGCCCAGUCGUGGGGGAUAACUGCUCGAAAGAGCAGCUAAUACCGCAUACGACCUGAGGGUGAAAGCGGGGGACCAUAAGGCCUCGCGCGAUUGGAGCGGCCGAUGUCAGAUUAGCUAGUUGGUGGGGUAAAGGCCUACCAAGGCAACGAUCUGUAGUUGGUCUGAGAGGACGACCAGCCACACUGGGGCUGAGACACGGCCCAGACUCCUACGGGAGGCAGCAGUGGGGAAUUUUGGACAAUGGGCGCAAGCCUGAUCCAGCAAUGCCGCGUGCAGGAAGAAGGCCUUCGGGUUGUAAACUGCUUUUGUCAGGGAAGAAAUCUUCUGGGCUAAUACCCCGGGAGGAUGACGGUACCUGAAGAAUAAGCACCGGCUAACUACGUGCCAGCCGCCGCCGUAACAC
rnacentral:rRNA from 1 species